rnacentral:rRNA from 1 species
CAAUAGCGUAUAUUAAAGUUGUUGCAGUUAAAAAGCUCGUAGUUGGAUUUCGGGGCAGCCUGGCUGGUCCGCCGCAAGGCGAGUACUGGUCAGCCGCCCUUCCUCUCGAAAGCCCCGACUGCUCUUCGUUGCAGUGGUCGGGUAGUUCGGGACGUUUACUUUGAAAAAAUUAGAGUGUUCAAGGCAGGCCUACGCCUGAAUACAUUAGCAUGGAAUAAUGGAAGAGGACCUCGGUCCUAUUUUGUUGGUUUCCAGGGCCGAAGUAAUGAUUAAGAGGGACAGUUGGGGGCAUUCGUAUUUAAUUGUCAGAGGUGAAAUCCUCGGAUUUAUGAAAGACGAACAACUGCGAAAGCAUUUGCCAAGGAUGUUUUCAUUAA